rnacentral:lncRNA from 1 species
AGACCUAACCCAAUCCACCCGCUCCAUCCCACCAGACUCCCCUCCGCCGCCGCGACCUAUGGCUCCAUCCCCUGUCCCUGCCGCCGGAAGUGAAGGUGUCCUCAUCCACGCGCUCCCGGACCCCCAUCCCUGCUGCCGCCGGUGAAGGUAUCUUCGUCAUCCUCGCGCUCCCCCUCGCUGCUGUCACCGUCGUCCGUGCACACCGCCGUGCGGACCGUGCCCCUCAACCCCCUUCCAUCCCUGCCACCACCGGGGUCGCGGCUGCCAAUAGCUCCGACGCCGACCUCAGUACAUCCGCCGCCCUAACCCCCGCCCUCCACCACGUCCCCGGCCCUUGUUCCGGCCGUCGCCGCUCCUUUUCUCUCCUGCAAAGCCCCUUCUGCAGAUCCAUCAGUCGCAUGCCCGUUUCUGCAGAGCGGCAUCGUCUUGGCCAUAUCUCUCCAAGUGCUGCAGGCCAGAGGAAGUUGUCUUUGCUUGGUAAGUGGCGAUGAUGAGGAUCCCCAUUUACUAAGAAGUUUACUUGUUGGAUCUGUACUGAGAAGUCUAAUAAUGCAGAAAAGGGAUUGAGUGCUACUGAAGUUAGUGUUUACUUAGGUAUAUCUUGCUAUUAAUAUAUAUAUACUGCUGCCUUUUUAGUCCAUUUGUUUACUUACCGAUAUACUUUGCAUUUAUCAGUUUGUUCUACACUGGUUUCAGAUUUGGGUGGAUGGGUUGUUGUCAUUGUGAUGCAACAGAGGAAUCAGCGCUGGCCACGAGGAGAUUAGAGGCUUGAGAUGGAUGCUACGAUGGUGGUGGCAAAGUUAGGAGCUUGAGAUUUACAGGGACGAGGUGUAUGAUAGCACAGAUUAAUGUUCAAGUCUUCAUCAGCAGCACCUUGACAUGAAUCCUAAGAUCCAUCGGCAUUAUUUCUUGAUUAUUUUCUAGGGAAGAAUCCGAAGAUGAAUUGUUUCUUUAUUUUUUAACAAAUUUCAUGGCUUAGCAUCUUAUGUGUUCCAUCUAACUCUACCUGCAAUUUAUAUCUACUCCAAGUACACCACAUUCAGAAUUGAUAUACAGCCUACAGUUAGAUCAGUUCAGAUUUUGCCAUGACAAUAUUACCG